AUUGAACGCUGGCGGCAGGCUUAACACAUGCAAGUCGAGCGGAGACUUCGGUCUUAGCGGCGAACGGGUGAGGAAUGCCUGGGAAUCUGCCUGUUAGUGGGGGAUAACGUUCCGAAAGGAACGCUAAUACCGCAUACGUCCUACGGGAGAAAGCAGGGGACCUUCGGGCCUUGCGCUAACAGAUGAGCCCAGGUCGGAUUAGCUAGUUGGUGAGGUAACGGCUUACCAAGGCGACGAUCUGUAGCGGGUCUGAGAGGAUGAUCCGCCACACUGGAACUGAGACACGGUCCAGACUCCUACGGGAGGCAGCAGUGGGGGAAUUUUGGACAAUGGGCGCAAGCCUGAUCCAGCCAUGCCGCGUGAGUGAAGAAGGCCU
rnacentral:rRNA from 1 species